AUUGAACGCUGGCGGAAUGCUUUACACAUGCAAGUCGAGCGGCAGCACGGGGGCAACCCUGGUGGCGAGCGGCGAACGGGUGAGUAAUACAUCGGAACAUGCCCAGUCGUGGGGGAUAACACUUCGAAAGAAGUGCUAACACCGCAUACGUCCUGAGGGAGAGAGCGGGGGAUCGCAAGACCUCGCGCGAUUGGAGUGGCCGAUGUCAGAUUAGCUAGUUGGUGGGGUAAAGGCCUACCAAGGCAACGAUCUGUAGCUGGUCUGCGAGGAUGAUCAGCCACACUGGGACUGAGACACGGCCCAGACUCCUACGGGAGGCAGCAGUGGGGAAUUUUGGACAGUGGGGGCAACCCUGAUCCAGCCAUUCCGCGUGAGUGAAGAAGGCCUUCGGGUUGUAAAGCUCUUUCGGCAGGAACGAAACGGUGAGCUCUAACAUAGCUUGCUAAUGACGGUACCUGAAGAAGAAGCACCGGCUAACUACGUGCCAGCCGCCGCUGUAAAAC
rnacentral:rRNA from 1 species